rnacentral:rRNA from 1 species
AUGUGCUUAAUGAUAUGCUCCAAAAUCCUCAGCUACUUUCCCACUUCCACAUAUGACCUAAACCCUAAGUCAAACUCGGUCCUACCGAUUCUUCCUAUCCGGCGCCACCGAGUUUCACUUGUCAUAAGCCACUGCCAAACCCUAAUCAUUUCGGUCUCACCGAUGGGAUCUCGGUCUCACCGAGAUGGGCUUGCAAACUCUCUGUUACCCAUUGCAAUAUUCUCGGUCCCACCGAGAUAUGCAAUCGGUUCCACCGAGUUUGCUUGGCCAAAUCUCAGUUUCACUUAUUACCCAAAUCGGUCCCACCGAGUUUGA